rnacentral:lncRNA from 1 species
CCUGCAGGAACCCGCCCUUCCCCCCCAACCCCGCGCGGGCCGCUGAGCCUCGGGACCUGAGCCUGGAGAACUCGGCCCCAGGGCGCCGCCUAGAGGUCGGUCGCGGCCUCGGCCUUACUCCCCGGCGACCACAGAGCUGCCUGCGCCAGCUGCCGCCAGAAAUUACAAACAAAACAAAACAAAACUAAUUCCAAGCUUGGCCCGGAGGCUAGGCUUUUGGCACCUCUGACUUUUCCGAAACGGCCUCCCCUCUGCCCUAUAAGAAAGGACCUGUGUUCUGCGCUGCCUCUUAUGAUCUAAGCUGUCCAGCCCCCUCCAGUGGUGCUAGAACUGCUUUCUCUUCAAGGAAGAAGAGAAGCCAGAAGUCCCUGAAUCUUGCAGCUUGGCCAUCGAUUUUCUGACUAAUUUGGAGAUGGACGUGUUUUUGGAAGAGUAUUUGGAAAACCUUUUGGGGUGAAAAGAAGUUCCUCCGUGGCCUCUGCUCGCUGAGUAACCGAGCUCAGUGAUGCAUGAACACUGCUCUGGAAUUUGAAAGUUGGCUGCUCUGGGGCCAGCCAGGAGGGGAUGUAAACCGUUUGAAGUUCAUCAACACGGUGAAGUUUUAUUGGAUUUCCGGUCCCCAAGAUUUAUACCCAAGAGGGGGAGUGGGCGGCCAGGCAGACUCCCUCCUUACCUCGGGGUUUCCCUGCCGGACACGUGGCCGCUCAGACUGUCGCCUCUGGGACAAGGCAGGAGGGGGCCAGGGUGACCUGGAUGGACUGGCUCGAGCAAUGCACCUGGUAACUGGUAACGGCGGAGUCGCGGUCCCCACUCCCUCAGGUGAGGUGCUGUCUGUGGAGCUCGGGUAUGUGGUGUCUGCACACGGUGAGGCACGGGGGGGUGGGGGGACACGGGUGGCAGGGGAGAGGGCCCAGUCUG